UAGGGGGCGGCUGUAGAAGUGGUAAGUUGUAGCCUUACUUAUGUGGUAUAUUCCUCUCCCCU
rnacentral:tRNA from 1 species